GCUUGGAACAAAAUACUUAGUGCGCGCAACCCUGUUCUUUUCUCUAACCCUAGCAAUCUCUUCCAGCAGCAAUUAGGUACGUUAACCAACAAAAUUCCGCACCUGACGACGAGGAGGUCACUGUUCUACUCCUCCCCCUUGCUCCUCUCUUCCGCUCCCCUCUUUGCUAUCGUUCCUUCCUCCGCGACUCCACCGUCACCUCCUCCAAUUCCUGCUUGGGCCACCCCGACCUUCUUCGAGCUCCCUAGGUCCGGUGGAGUGAGGGCCCUGGACCUUCGUGAAGGUUACGGUGAAAUCCCUGUCAAUGGAGAUCAGCAAUUAAGCAGUGUAACCCAUGGAUCUGGUGAAGGGCAAAGGAGCAACCAAAUAGUAAGGCUUCAUAAAAAGAAGCAAGAAUAGUCAACUUAAAGUGGAAAGUCCACUGCCCAAAUUGAGGACCAAGGUACAAUGUUAUAUAUCUCAAGGCAAGAAGAUUUUUUUGCCGCUGUAAUUCAAUUUCAAAACUAAACAUCUAUAUGUGGAACUGUGUGCAUCUGCAAGAAGCUAACCGAGUUUGAUUAUAUAAAAUCUACAUAUGUGAGGUUUGAGUAAAAUCUACAUUCUACAUAAAUUAGAAAAUGCUACAUUCUACAUAAAUUAGAAAACGCCGAUCCUUGUUAAAUAGACAGUUGAAUGAUGUUCUAUAAUUGAUGACUAGAACUAUGCAUGGCUGAAAGAAUAGCUUCGAACCAUGAUCUAAUAUCAAUAAAUGUGAGCAAAUCAAAAUUGAGAGAGAAAGACACCUAAAGGUUACAAAAAGGUUGUCACAUCUUUAGAAUUGUGAGAUAGGGAUUGUAAUAGACAUUGGAAAUUUAGCCUUGUGUAAUAAACUUUAUUGCCAAAUCUUUGACAAAGGUUGCCACAUCGUUGGAAUUGUGGGAUAGGGAUUUCAAACUUCCUAUUACUUUUCCUUAUUCUAUAGAGUUAUAUUAAUUGUUUGCAUUCUUCAUUUAAUUUUGGUUUUCUAGUUAAACAUUCUUUAAUGUUUAUCGAUUAUGUUUAUAUUCUGUCUAACCAUUCUAGAUUGUCUCUUCACCACGUUAUGCACUCAUAUUUUCUCCUUAGAAAGGCUCUUGUGGAACACAAAACCUGUGCCUUGGUAACAGUCACAGAGAUCCGGAUAUUGGUAACAAAGUGGGUCUGUUGAAUGUGGAUAUUGUGUGAUGAGAUACAUGAAAGAGAUAGUUGAAUCUAAAAAUCCAGAGUUGGAGAAAAUGUUUACCGAAACAAUCAAGAACAAAUAUUACAACCAAUCUCAAUUUGAUGAAGUCAGAAAUGAGUGGAGUGAAUUUGUCUACUCGUAUGUAUAACGUACCUAAGUCGUGUAUGUUGUGAUAAAUAUUUGGGAUCAUUAUGGAUUUUAGUGUUAUUCUUAUGGAUGUAAUUUGUGGUAAACAGUGGAUAUACUUUUGUGAAUGUACUUUUGGAUAUAGUUGUGGAUAUAAUUAUGGAUAAA